GGGCCCUUAGCUUAGCCAGGUUGAGCACCCGGCUCUUAACCGGGGGGUCGUGGGUUCAAAUCCCACAGGGCCCG
rnacentral:tRNA from 2 species